AUUGAACGCUGGCGGCAUGCCUAACACAUGCAAGUCGGGCGGCAGCGGGGGCUUCGGCCUGCCGGCGAGCGGCGGACGGGUGAGUAACGCGUAGGAACCUGCCCCGUAGUGGGGGACAACGUGGGGAAACCCACGCUAAUACCGCAUACGCCCUGAGGGGGAAAGCGGGGACCUUCGGGCCUCGCGCUAGGGGAUGGGCCUGCGUGGGAUUAGCUAGUUGGCGGGGUAACGGCCCACCAAGGCGACGAUCCCUAGCUGGUCUGAGAGGACGACCAGCCACACUGGGACUGAGAAACGGCCCAGACUCCUACGGGAGGCAGCAGUGGGGAAUAUUGGACAAUGGGCGCAAGCCUGAUCCAGCAAUGCCGCGUGUGUGAAGAAGGCCCGAGGGUCGUAAAGCACUUUCAGCGGGGAGGAAAAAGCGGGGGCCAAUACCCCCCGUGUUGACAUUACCCGCACAAGAAGCACCGGCUAACUCCGUGCCAGCCGCCGCAGUAAGAC
rnacentral:rRNA from 1 species